AAACGGUAUCGUGAAUUUUCUGCUCUCUAUUGGCGGUUGAAAAAGUUAUUCGCAGAUCAGGGAAGGAUUCUUCCUUCUGUCUGGUCCUCUGUUGAACAAGAGUCACGGAAGGUUUUCAGAAGUGCUUCUCCAAAAGUUGUUGCUGAUCGAAGUGUUCUUAUUCAAGAGUGUUUAAAUUCCCUUCUCCAGUCAAGGUUUCCUACAGGUGCCCUCAAUGUUGUAGUGUGUUUCUUAUCUCUGUCUAAGGAUCUUCCAGGUUCUCCAACUUAUGAUACAAAUGCACUUCAGUCUCCGUCUA
rnacentral:misc_RNA from 1 species